rnacentral:rRNA from 1 species
UACGUAGGGGGCGAGCGUUGUCCGGAUUCAUUGGGCGUAAAGAGCUCGUAGGCGGCCACUCAAGUCGAAUGUGAAACCUCGAGGCUUAACCUCGAGCCUGCAUUCGAUACUGGGCGGCUAGAGUCUGGUAGGGGGAUCUGGAAUUCCUGGUGUAGCGGUGAAAUGCGCAGAUAUCAGGAGGAACACCAGUGGCGAAGGCGGUGCUCUGGGCCGGAACUGACGCUGAGACGCGAAAGCGUGGGGAGCGAACAGG